rnacentral:rRNA from 1 species
GACGAACGCUGGCGGCGUGCUUAACACAUGCAAGUCGAGCGAUGAAGUUCCUUCGGGAAUGGAUUAGCGGCGGACGGGUGAGUAGCACGUGGGUAACCUGCCUCAUAGAGGGGAAUAGCCUUCCGAAAGGAAGAUUAAUACCGCAUAAGAUUGUAGUAUCGCAUGAUACAGUAAUUAAAGGAGUAAUUCGCUAUGAGAUGGACCCGCGUCGCAUUAGCUAGUUGGUGAGGUAACGGCUCACCAAGGCGACGAUGCGUAGCCGACCUGAGAGGGGGAUCGGCCACAUUGGGACUGAAACACGGCCCAGACUCCUACGGGAGGCAGCAGUGGGGAAUAUUGCACAAUGGGGGAAACCCUGAUGCAGCAACGCCGCGUGAGUGAUGACGGUCUUCGGAUUGUAAAACUCUGUCUUCAGGGACGAUAAUGACGGUACCUGAGGAGGAAGCCACGGCUAACUACGUGCCAGCAGCCGCCGUAA